CCGGCGGUAGAAUGAAAUCGGCUCCGCCCACUUGGCCCUGGGGCUGCUGAAGGAUGUACUGUUGGUUGUCCUCCAGUACCACGAUGUCCACCAGACCUAAAAAUCGGAUUAUUGAGUCAAUAAGUAAAACUAAGACUAUGUAAUGGAGUUGACAUAAUGGUUGCAAGGUAGCUGCAAGGUAUCUGUUGGGCAAGUGUAUCUAUAGUUUCGAUUUACAAUUUUAAAUGUGUAUUAUGAUUAAUAUUAAGGGUUUGUUUAUUAAUUUAUUUAUUUUCAUAAUGUAUCAUACUUGAGAUAUAUGUGGUAAGGUAAUGCACCCAAUAUUAUGUCCAACAUCAUCUUUUUGUUCUUACUAUUUUUAUUAGCAGUAUGUACUGUGUAGAUGUUAUCAAAUUUUAAUUUUGUUCAUUUUGUGACGUUGCUAUUGUCUAUUUAAAUUAGAUCUUGAAAGCAAUAAAGAAAUUAUUAUUAUUA